AUUGUUUAUUUAGAAAAUAUUGUGUUGGGGCGACAAAAAUAAAAAUUGUAACUGUUUAUUUAUUUAAAACUUUAAAUAAAAGAAAAAAUGAUCCUUUAAUAAAGAUUAAAAGAUUAAGUUACUUUAGGGAUAACAGCGUAAUCUUUUUUGAGAGUUCAUAUCGACAAAAAGACUUGCGACCUCGAUGUUGAAUUAAGAAAUCCUUUUGGUGCAGCAAUCAAAAAG
rnacentral:rRNA from 1 species